UGUAAACUCACGAAUCAGGAUCCAAAGCAAGGGCUGUGUCAUCAGUGGUGCAUGCAUGUGACAGAGGCGAGAGACAGAGGCGAGAGGGGCCUGGCGGCAGAAGGGAAUGUACUGGGAAUACAGGAGGCUGAAGCUUCAUCACAGCUCACAGAACAACUGAGCAGGGUUCAAGGAGUCCCUGGGAGUGGCUGAAGCUGGGAGCUGCUGAAACUGCUAGAGGAGGGGGGACCUUCAAUCUGCAGGAAAGGUGACCUCAUCCUUCCUAUCCAAGGCACAUGAGGUCCUAAAGGGAAAAAGAGAGGGCCAAACCUACAAAAGCUACUUCAGGAUGACCCACAUCAGAUCUACAAACUAGGUGUCACCGGAGCCUGGCCUAAUGACUUUGGAGAAUCAACUGCUCACAAAAAUAUACGUGGAGGCAAGGGAUUGCCAGACAGGUACCCCAAAGAUGAACCAAAACUUACCGAAGGCACACUGAAUGGUCUUGUGAAACUGCUGAAAACAUUUCAGGGUGGUCAAAUGGAUAAUGAAGAAAUCCAAAAGGAUAAUGAUGAAAAUCAAAACACAAAGUAAAUCACAAAACAAAAAACAAGAGAAAGAUGAAAAAUGAUGACUGGGAUUCCUUUGAACUUGAUCUGAUUGAAAGUCUUCAACUCAACAGCAGUUCUCCUUCACACUGGGUUCAGGUGAGUCCUCAGAGACAGGAGGUAUGCCAAGACUCACCCACCUGCAAAUUAGCAGACAAGAUGAUGUCCCAUUUCCAGAGCUGCCUGUGAUAUGUAAAGAACAGAAAUUUGCCCAGAUGGCAGGUAAAGAGAGCAGCAGCCAUGUGUCAGGCAUCACAGAGCCCUCGGCCUCUGCAGCACAGCUAGAAGAGGAUGCUCCCAAACCACAGGCCACUUGCCUGUCUCCACGUGGAGCAGGCCUUCCACUGGCUGCAGAAGAGAGUCCUUUCGCUGAUACACAGAAAACAGGACCCUGAGCAGGCCACCAAGAGCUGCCCUCAGCAGAGAACAAAGAGAAGAAUAUCCUAGAGACAAAAAGUUCCAUCCUGAAGGACCCCUUGAAAAAUUAGGACAACUCCAUAGCUUCACAUUUUCAUGCUAUGGGCUACCCUGUCUUCCAAAAUACAACAACAAAGCAAAUGUUCUUGUUUUUAAAAAAUGUUAAUACCAGAGUUGGAAAUCUGAAGUCAGAUCAAUUGACACAUGAGAGAUGAGGUGUCAGAAAACCAUUGAACAAUUUCCAGUUCAAAUGCUCCAGUUUUGCAAUUUUGAAUAGUUCUGGUGGUAAAAACACAUAAUUACAUGCUCUUGAGUAGGAGUUGAGCUUAUCAGUUGUAUCUAUUUCUCAGUCUUCUUUUCUAGAUUACUAAAAUCGAGUUAGCCUGAGAAGUCUUACCAUUGCCCUAGAGACAAAAAAUUUAAAAUCAUACUGGUAAGUUCAGUUAACUUACCCAUCUUCUGCACAAGUAAUGGACUAAAGAAAUGGUCUUUAUGAAGACAGAAAUAUUACUGAAUUUGUUAUUGCUUUAGUGUGAGGCCAAAAAAAAAAUCCCUGAUAUUAUCUAAUCCAUUCCCCUGGAUGGGUCUGAAAUGAAGUUUUGGUAUAAAAUAAUGAAGAGAAUAGUAAUGAAUUUUCAUAAAUUUAUAUUGUUUUCCAUUUAAGGGAUUAUUUUAUAUUAUGAUAUUACUUCCUCCAUUAAUUUUGGUACUAAAAAUGUUCUUUCUUUUAUAGAAUAGAAUGGUUUCACAAUUCCUCACCCCUAUUCAUUUAAAAAUAAUAUUCAUUUAAAAAUAAUUUACUGAUCUGAGAAGACAAAAGUCUAAUCAUCACUGGGCUGACUUUAUAAAAACCUGUCUGUAUGUAUGGUGGCUUGUGUUAUGAUGUCAACAUGGUCAGUUUUGGAAUUAUAUUUUCCAGAAUCCCCUUUCUCUACUGUAUUAUUUUAGAAUUAGACAAGAGAGAUGUAUAUGAGAAAUUUGGAAGCUAGAAGUAAACUCAUAGUCAUUAUUCUCUGAAUGUUUUCUUUUAUGUUAGUUAGACAUGGAGGUACCCAGGCCAUGCACAGCCAGCUUUUCUUCCCACUAGACAGUCCUGAUGACCAACAUCAACUUCAGGCAAGGGCUUGGCUUUGGACCAGCAGAGGUGCUGGCCAGACAGAGCCUCUUCACACACUCCCUAUUAGUGACAAGUCUUGCAGCUGGAAGUGCUUACUUCUCAAAGUGCCUGGAAGGUGACUCCUUCUCUGAGUUCCAUUCCCCAACUUAUUCCAGAUUUCCAUUUCUCUACUUUCCUAUAUAGCUGCAUAAGAGCACAUUCCCGUAAUAAGCCCUGUCCCAUUGGUCUCACAGGACCUCUGUUCUUCUGCCUAAAUUUGGUUGAAAAACUUCAAAUACAGGAAUUGGUUUCAGGAGAAUGAAAUGGUGGAGGUAGGAAUCUGGAAUUGCUUCUCUGUUCCAGACAGAUUUUAAGAUAUUAGUGGCUAUGUUACCACUAGUAAAAUGUGAUAGUAGAUAAUCCAUGCAUAGGUUGACAAAAUAGUUACCUAGACUACUAUCUACAGUUAGCUGAAGCCAAGAUCCUAAAAAAGAUAAAGUUUUGAGUAUCCAAGUAGUUGUUAUAGAAUGGUAAAGAAGAUACCAUUUCCACAAAAAUAAGAGUUAGCUGGAAAACAAUUAACCUUGAAAACUAGAGAUCAAAAAUGCCAGCCUCAAACAGCCUAUCCUUGCCUUUCCUGCCUUAAAGAGUAGCCACAAAGUAAGAGAUAGAGGUAACAAGUUGCUUGUUUCUAAGAGUCAAAGAACUUUCAGAGGAGAAAGGAUGAGGUUAGAGUGUCAUGUUUCCAGCUAAAAAUUCACUAAGGUUAUUGGAAAACUUUGACAAGCACUCUAAAAGGUACCAUUUCUCUUGUAGCUACAGAGCUGAGAUUUCUGAAAGCCAGGCUCAGAAUGAAAGUCUUGCAGGUGGGAUGCCUUCCUACUACAUGUACUAGACCAGGCCAACACACAGCGCCAUCCAUUCCUAACUAGAAUGAUCAUGAUUGGGACGUAAGGGAUGGAAAUGGGUUGUAGCUACUCUUACCAAUUGGUUUAACAACCCAUAUGAGAAAUUUUUGUUUCUUACACUGACACAGCAAUUUUGAGCUUAGUGGUUCUACAAGGCACCCUGCCCAAGAGAGAAAUAGCGACAGCAGUAAACACAGUCAGUAUUCUUUACAUUGGAAUUGGAGGGUUUCCCCUAAUCAGUUUGGCUUUGUUAUACCAAUGAACCAACAGUCAUCUCUGAGGGACUGCUCUUCAUGGAUAGCAUUUGCUGAGCUUUCCUGCUCUCUGCUUCCAGUUUAGUUUAGCUACUAGGAGGAAAAGAAGAUUCAAAGUGGGGAGAGACUGGUGCAGUUAUUCAGACUCCCUCCCUGGUGGAUCGUGGACCAGCGGUGGCCAUAUUCCUCCACCAAAGACCACAUCUUCUGCUGGAUGGACCUCACCUUUAGCUAUUGAUCUCCUUGAAUUCUAAAAACUGUGUUAUUCUUUUGAUCCUUCAGCCCCACAAUUUGUAAUGAAUUCCUGUGGCUAGAAAGUUGGUCCUUACAUGCUCUGAUGUAAGUAUUUUUUUCUUCAUCAAACUCUCUUCAGCUGACUCUUUUGACAUACGGGCCAUUCUGAAAGCUCUUGGACCAAUACUUACAUAAGGAAGUUAAGAUCUGAAUUCCAUUAUACUUUCCUUAUUUAAUUUUCCCCUAAGCUCUCACAGUUAUUAAAUUGAUUAUUUUGUUCUAAGUACAUGGUUAUAUCACAUAUGAAUAAUUUAUUUUAAUCAAUAAAAGAAAUACUUAAAAUAGCAGAAUAGGCAAAAAUUGCCCAUAAUACCAAAAGAAUAAGUUCAAAAAGAUUAAACAUCAUUGAUAUCUAAGGAUUAUUGCUUUUCAAAAGAUACUACUAAGACAAUGGAAAGAUUAAUACAGAAUAGAAGAAAAGUAUAUUUCUGAUAAAAAUAUACUUUCAUUCAGAAUACAUAAAAACACUCAGAGCACAAGAACAAGAUAACCAAAACAUUUUAAUGGACAGAAGUGAUUUGACAUGGGCAACAGAUUUGGAAUACAUACUUCACCAAAGACAUAAAAUAAUCAAAUGGAACUUAGAACUAAAAUUACAAUGAGAUACCACUACAUACCCAUUCCAAUGCCCAAAAAUUACAAUGAGAUACCACUACACACCCAUUCAAAUGCCUCAAAUUUAAGAGACUCAAAGUAGCAAAUAUUGGUAAGAAUAUGAGAGUACGUAGAACUCUCAUAUAUUAUUCGUAGGACUAUAAAAUGGUACAAAUUUGAAAAAUCAGUUGACGGCUUCUUAAAAAGUUAAACAUACACUCAACACUCUAACUCAGUAAUUCUGCUUUUAAACAUUCACCCAAGGGAAAGUAAAUCUGUGUCCACACAAAAACUUGAACUCAAAUAUUCAUAGUAGCAGUAGCCAUAAUAGCCAAUGACUAGAACAGCCCAAAACAACCCCAUCAAAAGGCAAAUGGAUGAACAAAUUUUGAUCUGUUCCUACAGUGGAAGGUUGCAUUUAGUAUAACUUACCACUGAAUAUACUGAUUACACUUUCAUUCUUUGAAAAAUAGUGUUUAUGAUGAUAACUCUCAAUAAGCCAGGAUAUUCAGUCUACUAAUCUUGAAAACAAGCUUUAUAACUUUUUUCAUCUCAAUAUCUAACUAUGGUGUCAGCACAAAAUGUAUGCUCAGUAAGUGACAGUUGAAAUAAAAUAAAAACAUGCAUCAUCAUUCACUAUUUUAAGAUGGAAAAGAAUUCUAUAUAUAUGUAUGUUCAUAUAUUCAUAUAAACUUAAAAAGUGUGACAAGAUGCACACUAAACUGUAAUCAAGGAUUGCCUCAUGAAUUUAAAGCAAUGCAGAGAAUUCAGCUUCCCUUUAAUACAUAAUAUUGCAGUUAAGAUCAUGGACUCCAGAGUCAGGUUUGGUUUCAGUGCCAACUCUACCGAUUCUCAUAGGUGUCAGUACUUACCCUCUUUGUGUCUUAUUCUAUCUUCUUAGUGGAGAUCACAAAAUUCUUAACUCAUAGGAUUCAGGUGAAUAUUAAUUGAGAUAAUACAUAAAAUGUACUUAAGUGUUUAAUACUUAGCAAACAUUUGAGCUAUUAGUCUUUGCUUGAUAUGUUACAAUGUCAACUAGUGUUUUGAAAUAAUGAAAGAAAAAUAUUUCAUGGCAAAUAAUUUAAGAGGAUUUGUGUCAUAAUACAAGGAGAGCAAGAGGAAGAGGAUGAAAAAGAGGAAGGGGAUAAAAGUAGCUAUCAAUUUUAUCUUGGCGAUGUUUCUGCUUAAGCCCCCAGAUUUGCUCCAAAUUAGACUGGCUGCUCCAUACAUGUUGCCCAACUCUUACCUGCAGUUUUCCUAUCAUGUUUAUCCCAAUUCCUUCAUUCAUUCAUUCUCUCUCUCUCUCUCUCUCUCUCUCUCUCUCUCUCUCUCUCUCUCUCUGCGUGUGCAUGUGUGUGUGCUGGGGAUUGAACCAAGGAUCUUCACAAUGAGCUGCAUCCCCAUUCCAUUUCUUAUUUAUUUAUUUUAUUCUGAAGCAGAACCUGAUUGAUCGAUUUCGAGACCGAGUCCCACUAGGUUGUCCAUACUGGCCUCAGUCUUGAUCCUCCUGCUCAGCCUCCCAGCAGUGCUAGGAUGACGGGUCUGCUUCACGGCACACACUUUAGUCUGUGUCAUACAUUGGAUCGCUCUUGCCUGGGUUCCAGUUCUUCAUCUCUCUUCAUUUUUUCACUUAUGUUUGUAUGUUGCAUCCACCAUUAUCCUUAUUUUUAAAACUGCAUUCAAUUUUUUGGAACAUGACAUGCCUGAAAAGGUCUUAUUAUAAUCUCACAUUAAAAUUUGCUAGUUUGAUUAAGUAUAAUAUUCUAGGUUUUAAAUCACAUUCCUUUAAAAAUUUUAAGACAUUUUUCCAUUGUCUUUUAGCUUCCAACUACUCUGUAAUGAAGUUUAGUGCCAUGUUGUUUCUUAUCGUUUUAAACAAGGUUUUGCUUUGUUUUUGUUCCUGAAGUAGUCAAAUGUUCCCACACACUUUGAGUUUCACAGUGACCAUACUUUGUGCUCUAAAUCAUGUGGCAUUCAGUGGACCCUGUCAGUCCAGCCACCCAUGUCCUGUAGUUCUGGGAUAUUUUCACAAAUUAUUUCUUUAAUAUUUUCCUCUUUUCUGUUUUUGCUUCUUCUGGUCUCCAGCAUUUAUCUAUUUUCCACCUUAGUUUUUCUUUUAGAAAUUUAUUUUCUACAAUUUCUAGCGAGUUUUAAAUUUUUCUCACAUUUUUAACUUCCAAGAGCUCUUUUUUUGUUCUCUGAACAUUUCCAUUUGUUUUUUUUAGCUUAGCACUUCUAUUCUUAUUUCAUAGUGUAAAAUAUUCAUAUGGAUUUUAAGAAUAAUAAUAGAAAGCUGAGAUAUUUUUUCCAGCUUUCUUCUCUCUUACAUGAUCUGUUUCUUUUAAUUUCUCUGUGUUUUGGUUUCUUUCAUAUUGAAGACUUUCCUGAAAAGUCUGGUAAUCCUUUUCUAUUUAUUCAGAAGGCAGAUUUUUAAAAUAGGAGAUUUAAGAGAAAGAUGCCUUGAUGACAUGUGGAUUUUAGACACUGUGUUAGCUUUUCAGCACUAUAAAUAAAGGAGGAAAGAUUUGUUUUGGCUCAUGAUUUAAAAGGGCUCAGUCCAUGGUCAGCUGGCAACACUGCUUUUGCAUCUGUGGUGAGGAAAAAAUAUCACUGCUAAACGGUGUGGCAGAAUAAAGCCCCUCACUAGUGGCAACCAAGAAGCAGAAGUAAAAGGAAAUAAUUCAAGAGGAAGGGGCCAGGGACAAGAUAGAGUCCUCAGUGUCACACCACCGUGACCCAUUCCCUUCUGCCAGCCUUCACUCCUGUCCCCAUCACCUGCCAAUAGAGCUACGAAACUGCACUCUCAUAAGCAGAUUUACCACUGAUACAAUAAGAAGCCCCAUGGUCCAAUCACCAUCCAAAAGCCCGCCUUUGAACACAUGAGACUGUAGGGGACAUUUUAGAUCUAACUAUAACAGCUAUUAAAUCUAGAACUGAGACAAUAAAUCUCUAUGUUGUAAGCUUUAAAGGUGGGUGGUGUGGGGGGGGGCCUGAGGGAUUUUCUAGGAAGUGACAUGGUCAGUCACUAGGGUUUAUCUGGUGUCAGUGUCCCUAGGUCUUUUCUCUUAAGCUGGCUGAGUCUCCAGACAGGUACUUUUCACUUUCUGCCUUUAAAAAGCUUGAUCUCUGAGUGUUGGCAGGAGCAGACAACCUAAGGCCUUGGCACUAGCACAUAAGCUUCUCACCAGCCACCUCUGUUUAGAACACCACCUGUCAUCGUUACGGUGUUUGGGGCCAUAAAGCCACUAUUCCAGAGAAUGAACUUCCAAUCUUUGGCUGGGGUAGGGGCAAAAGGGAAGAGCAAUUAGGACUCUCCUUGCAUCAAAAAGGCAUUCAGAUUAUCUUUCUCUUUAGUCCCUGAUCCCUGUAUUAGUAGCUUUCCUUUUGCUGAGACACAAAACCCAACACCCACAAUUUAAAGAAGAAAA